rnacentral:lncRNA from 1 species
CCAAAUAUCAUUGGCUUCACUCUGUAUAUGUAACGACCCGAAUCUAAUAAAAUUCAAUGUCUCUGUGCUCACUGUGCUAGUCCCUGGAUCGACUCGCUAGCACACACAAUACAUAUAAAUAUCAAAUAACAAGUGCAUCAUUUACUACAACGUAUGAUCCAGAAUUUAUAAAGUAUUACAAACUGAAUAGCACAUGGCUAACUUAUUCAAUAAUAACAGCGGAAAGGUGGCAUAAUAAACGAUGAGGCCAUCAAUGCCCACUAGAGAACAUGUUGAGUGAAGACUCGCGACCCUACUGUAUCUCACUGAUCAUCUGAAAAUCCUGCAACAUGAUAAGUUGCAGCCGCAAAGGGUCAAUACAUUGAAUGUAUUGGCAAAUCACACAAUAUGAUAUAGCAAACCUACAUCCACAAAGCAAUGUAUGACAAACAAAACACACAAGUUAGUUUGAAGAAGAAUGUCUUCACCUACCUCCACUACCUGAACUGACAACCGUCUCUAAUUUACUCGCCCAAGAUAACCCAAAGAUUCUAAAUAAACAUGACAAGAACUUCAGAAGUAUCUCAAGUGCGCUCUGUCAGUGGCGCAUUCUCUAGGAACCAUAGAGCGCUCUGCCAAGGACGCAUUCACCUGAUUUAAGUUCCGAAAACUAUACCUCGCCUCAAGUGCGCUCUAUCAAUGGCGAAUUCUCUAGGCACAAUAGAGCGCUAUGCCGGUGACGCAUUCACCUGGUUAAUAAUCCCGAGCCUACGGCUAUAAACACUCACCACUUUCAUGGAUCACUCGGCACAUGCCCGCGUCUACCAUAGCGAGUUGAUCACACCAUCACAUAAUACAAUCAAUACCAGAAUAUAACAACAGAGAACAUACAGAUCAAACCAGCACAUGUCAUAGCAUAAAAACCACACACACAUAGCAGAAUAUAGGAUGAGCAAAAUCAAAAGUGCAAAGCCUUGAACGAUGUUGAAGUACUCUAACGAUUAAUUCUGAUCCGCUUCGCACUCCGGACAAUCUAUACGUUCAACGAAUGCACCGAUAAAUAAAUCGUACUCACAUAACACUAAAAUAAAUUCAACAACAAAUAGUUCAAAUAAAACUUUAAUAUCAUAAACAUAUCAGUAGGCAUAUCUUAUCUACAUGCUAGUAGGAUCACAAUGCAAAAAGAAUCAACUAAUUUGGAUCAACGGUUUGAAAGAUACGGCCUCAGAAAGGUUAACUUCCAAUUUGAGCAAAUGCAAAUUUAAACAGUUCAAACAUGUGAAAUUUUGGUUUUACAAUAUUCUCCUGGUCUCUACGAGUACACAGGAAAAAUAAUCGAUGAAUUUGGAGUUACGGAUCUCAAGAUAUACUUAAAUGAAAUUUUGAUAUGGAAUCUGCCAAAAGAAUAUUGUGUCAAAAAUAGAUUUCGAAGAACUGUUGCGGCUGUGGAUGUGCCACGUGGCAAGGUGUGAGUGGCUGAAAGUUGUCCGCUAUUGUGGCUAACGGACGAACGGCCGGCAUAUAAUAGAAAAAUGUUUCAACAAAAAAAACAAUAGAGACUUAAUCCGGGUGGUCGAACAUGAAUUGGACGGCGGGAGAUGCUCACCGGAAAACAUGGCAGGGUGCGUCGCCGGACUUGAAGAAGAACAGUGCGGGGCGGCUCGGGAUUCGGCGACAGCGACGGCUAAGGGGCUUGCUGGACUCAGGGAAGGUACUUGGAGAUGCGGAGGAGCUCGGAGGUCCCGAAUAUGACGUGGGUGACGUGGUUUCUUCAGUUGGGUCUUCUAGCGAUGGCACCGCCCAGAAAGAGCUCGGCGGCGGCGAUCUGCUCCUGGUCGAAGUUGCAGCGCUCGGUUCGGUGAAUCCCUGUGCCACUAAGAGGUGAGGUCGAGGCAGAAGCUCGAGGCGAUCAAGAAUAGGUUAACAGGGGUGCUGGGAACCGAUGGUGGGGACGAAACGCACCAGCAGAAGCUUCAGGCGGUGGCGGUCUCCGGCAAGAUCGGGACGACGCCCCAGGGCACGGGAGAACUCCGUUUUGGCGAAAAAUUGGACAAACCUGACGUGGGGAGUAUAUAUGGAGGUGGGAGUGCGAGAGGUGCAAGAUUCGAGCCGAAUCCACCGAGGAUUUGGAUCGGGAUUGAUCUCCAGGAAGAACACGUAUGAAGCAAGGUGAUGAU